AUCCAUCUGACAAGUCCCAAAUAGGACGAAACACAUUCUGGAU
rnacentral:hammerhead_ribozyme from 1 species